AACCCCCUAAAAAUCCCUAACACUCUCCUCUCAGAACUUCACGAUAUAUGACAAAGAGAGACUAUGAACCCUAGCUUUCUCCAUCUCAAUUGAUCGUGAUCGACCCUCCUCCCUCCGCCGGCACCGCUCGUAUCGCGCGACCGUUCUCUCUCCACCAGCAGGGCUCAUCUUGCGUGAUCCUCCUCUCUUUGCUGUUGAAGGAGGUUUGGUCUGGAUUGUUGGCAUUGAAGUUUGGGGAAUUGUUUAAAUUGUCUUCGUGAAGAUGAAAUUUCUGCUAUUAAGAAGCAACAUAAAGAUGAAAUGACUGGUAUGAAGAGGCAGAUGGAUGGAUUAACAUUACUUGUAAGGAACAUGUUGAAGCUACAACACCCAAAUUUAGAUGAAGAAGAGAUCUCCAAU